rnacentral:rRNA from 1 species
UUAUGUACAUAACUACAUCGUUAAUGCAUUGGACCCCAUUAGUACUCCAUAGUUCAGCGUGCUUGGGCAAGAGUAGUAUUGCGAUGGGUGACCUCCUGGGAAGUCCUAGUGUUUUACAUGCC